rnacentral:rRNA from 1 species
GACGAACGCUGGCGGCGUGCUUAACACAUGCAAGUCGAACGAUGAAGCCGGAGCUUGCUCCGGUGGAUUAGUGGCGAACGGGUGAGUAACACGUGAGCAAUCUGCCCUUGACUCUGGGAUAACUGCGGGAAACUGUAGCUAAUACCGGAUACGACACCUUGGGGCAUCCCAGGGUGUGGAAAGAAUUUCGGUCAAGGAUGAGCUCGCGGCCUAUCAGCUAGUUGGUGAGGUAAUGGCUCACCAAGGCGACGACGGGUAGCCGGCCUGAGAGGGUGACCGGCCAACCUGGAACUGAGACACGGUCCAGACUCCUACGGGAGGCAGCAGUGGGGAAUAUUGCACAAUGGGCGAAAGCCUGAUGCAGCAACGCCGCGUGAGGGAUGAAGGCCUUCGGGUUGUAAACCUCUUUUAGCAGGGAAGAAGCGAAAGUGACGGUACCUGCAGAAAAAGCACCGGCUAACUACGUGCCAGCCGCCGCAGUAA